GGUUAAGUUAGAAAGGGCGCACGGUGGAUGCCUUGGCACUAGGAGCCGAAGAAGGACGGGACUAACACCGAUAUGCUUUGGGGAGCUGUACGUAAGCGUUGAUCCAGAGAUUUCCGAAUGGGGGGAACCCACUAUCU
rnacentral:rRNA from 1 species